AAACGGGAGAAGCCCCGGAGCCUUUUAGGGCUCUUCAUCAAACUUGCAUUUUAAUGUAAAUCACUUCGAGGCUC
rnacentral:tRNA from 1 species